AGAGUUUGAUCCUGGCUCAGAAUGAACGCUGGCGGCGUGCCUAACACAUGCAAGUCGGAUGUGCCCGCAAGGGUGCAUGGCAGACGGGUGAGUAACGCGUGGGGAAUCUACCUUUUAGUGGGGAAUAACGCUCCGAAAGGAGUGGUAAUACCGCAUGUGACCGAUGGCUGGGAUGCUGUCGGUGAAACCCUGGGACCUUCGGGCCAGGGGCUAAAAGAGGAUCCUGCGUCUGAUUAGCUAGUUGGCGGGGUAAUGGCCCACCAAGGCGACGAUCAGUAGCCGGCCUGAGAGGGUGAUCGGCCACACUGGAACUGAGACACGGUCCAGACUCCUACGGGAGGCAGCAGUGGGGAAUUUUGCGCAAUGGGGGAAACCCUGACGCAGCAACGCCGCGUGGGUGAUGAAGGUCUUCGGAUUGUAAAACCCUGUCGCCAGGGACGAAGGGGGUGAGGUUAAUAG
rnacentral:rRNA from 1 species